UACGUAGGGCGCAAGCGUUAUCCGGAAUUAUUGGGCGUAAAGAGCUCGUAGGCGGUUUGUCGCGUCUGCCGUGAAAAGUCCGGGGCUCAACUCCGGAUCUGCGGUGGGUACGGGCAGACUAGAGUGAUGUAGGGGAGACUGGAAUUCCUGGUGUAGCGGUGAAAUGCGCAGAUAUCAGGAGGAACACCGAUGGCGAAGGCAGGUCUCUGGGCAUGAUCUGACGCUGAGGAGCGAAAGUGUGGGGAGCGAACAGG
rnacentral:rRNA from 1 species